rnacentral:rRNA from 1 species
CCUACGGUGGAGCUGCAGUGGGGAAUAUUGGACAAUGGGCGAAAGCCUGAUCCAGCCAUGCCGCGUGUGUGAAGAAGGCCUUCGGGUUGUAAAGCACUUUCAGUGGGGAAGAAAGCCUUGGGGCUAAUACCCUCGAGGAAGGACAUCACCCACAGAAGAAGCACCGGCUAACUCCGUGCCAGCAGCCGCGGUAAUACGGAGGGUGCGAGCGUUAAUCGGAAUUACUGGGCGUAAAGCGCGCGUAGGCGGUCUGAUAAGCCGGUUGUGAAAGCCCCGGGCUCAACCUGGGAACGGCAUCCGGAACUGUCAGGCUAGAGUGCAGGAGAGGAAGGUAGAAUUCCCGGUGUAGCGGUGAAAUGCGUAGAGAUCGGGAGGAAUACCAGUGGCGAAGGCGGCCUUCUGGACUGACACUGACGCUGAGGUGCGAAAGCGUGGGUAGCAAACAGGAUUAGAUACCCGGGUAGUC